ensembl:ncRNA F52E10.12 ncRNA
GGAGCUUCCCUUUUGUAUAUAUUUAUGUACUGCUCCCCACUACUAAAUUUUGGAUGGCUCAUCGAAAGAUGCGCC